rnacentral:rRNA from 1 species
UGCCAGCAGCCGCGGUAAUACGGAGGGUGCAAGCGUUACUCGGAAUCACUGGGCGUAAAGGGCGCGUAGGCGGAUUAUCAAGUCUCUUGUGAAAUCUAAUGGCUCAACCAUUAAACUGCUUGGGAAACUGAUAAUCUAGAGUGAGGGAGAGGCAGAUGGAAUUGGUGGUGUAGGGGUAAAAUCCGUAGAUAUCACCAAGAAUACCCAUUGCGAAGGCGAUCUGCUGGAACUUAACUGACGCUAAGGCGCGAAAGCGUGGGGAGCAAACAGGAUUAGAUA